rnacentral:rRNA from 1 species
UACAGAGGUCUCAAGCGUUGUUCGGAUUCAUUGGGCGUAAAGGGUGCGUAGGUGGCGCCGUAAGUCGGGUGUGAAAUCCCGGGGCUCAACCCCGGAACUGCAUUUGAAACUGCCUUGCUCGAGUACUGGAGAGGAGACUGGAAUUUACGGUGUAGCAGUGAAAUGCGUAGAUAUCGUAAGGAAGACCAGUGGCGAAGGCGAGUCUCUGGACAGUUACUGACACUGAGGCACGAAAGCGUGGGGAGCAAACAGG